GGACACAUGAAAUUUCACAGCCUCCUCAGUUCACUCUCCAGAUCAGUGGGUGGCGGUAAUGCACCCUUUGAUGUUUGUCAACCACCAGCUGAUUGAGCUGAAGAAGAAGGACGACGAGAAGGAGAAGAAGAGUGCAAUCAUUCAUCGCAGAGAGGAGCUGCACUUCUGCACACCUUUGAGCAGCAGUAUGAUGCAGGCAGAACUCUGUCUGAGACGGGACACUGAGACAACACUACCAGAGCUCACUGAGCAGCACAGGACCAGACAGAAAGAAGAGGAACUCAGUGGACUGGAGUCUGUCCACAUGGCAGAGUCAGAUACAGAGUGUGCUGGACCAGGACUCAAUACAUUGGAGCCAGAGUGUGUUACAGCACACAGUGGGGUCAGUGAUGUACACCACACACAUGCAUCCCUGAUUAAAACAGAAACUGAUCUGGGCUCCACCCACAUUGGGGAUCUUAUUAAGACAGAGACCCUCGACAGUACAGAGCUGGGAUAUGUAACCCAUCUACAUCCUGACCAAAUCAAAACAGAGGCUGAUGAUGGAGGAUACCGUCAGGCAGAACACAUCAGUGACUUGCAGGUUAUUGAAUGUGUUGAUAUUAAAUCUGAUCCAAUGAAGUGUGAAUCCAGUGAACGCUCAGUGAAUGAUCUCAUGAAUACUGUGAUGAAUGGAGCUGGUGUUGAUCAUGAAGACAAGACUGAACCCUGGCAAUGUGCAGGAGAGCCGAGCACAAACUGUAAAAAAGAAGAAAUGCAUGAUUUUCCAAUCCAUUGUGCGGACUUAACUCAUCACUGUGACAAAAACAAUGAAAAUAAUCUGACCAGAAUUGUCCAGAAAAAUACUAACUGUGGCAACAAACAUAUUGAUCGCCAGAGAAGGAAUGUAAGAAUUGCCCCCAAGAUAGUUGAUCCAAGUACAAACCGAAGCCUUUUGAUUUUCAUUCAAAACAAGUCAAUUCACAGAAAUAAAGGUGAAAUUCAAACCGGUGAAAAGUCGUACCAGUGUACACAGUGUGGGCGAUGCUUUUCCCAAAUGUGCCAUUUGAAUAGGCAUCGGAGAAUUCACACGGGUGAAAAGCCCUACAAAUGUACUGAUUGUGGGAAGUGUUUUUCCCAGACCAGUGCUUUAAAUUGCCAUAAGAUGAUUCAUACUGGUGAAAAGCCAUACAAGUGUACAGAGUGUGAGAAGUGUUUUAGUACAAACACUGCUUUAAAUAUACAUAUGAGAAUUCAUACAGGUGAAAAGCCAUACAAGUGUACACAAUGUGAGAAGUGUUUUAGUACAAAUUCUACUUUAAAUAUACACCAGAGAAUUCAUACAGGAGAAAAACCGUACAGUUGUACACAAUGUGGGAAGUGUUUUUCCACUAUAUCGCAUUUAAAUAGCCACCAGAGGAUGCAUACUGGAGAAAAGCCCUACAAAUGCACUGAGUGUGGGAAAUGUUUCAGUACAAAUUCUGCUUUAAAUGUUCACCUUAGAAUUCAUACAGGUGAAAAGCCUUACAAUUGUACACAGUGUGGGAAGUGUUUUUCCCAUACAGGUGCUUUAAAUUGCCACAAGAUGAUUCAUACAGGUGAAAAGCCCCAUAAAUGUCCUCAGUGUGGGAAGUGCUUUUCCAAAACAUCUCAUUUAAAUUCCCAUCAGAGAAUUCAUACAGGUGAAAAGCCCUACAAAUGUAUUGAGUGUAAGAAGUGUUUUGGUACAAAUUCUGCUUUAAAAAUACACUUGAGAAUUCAUACAGGCGAAGUACCAUAAAUGUACUCAGUGUGACAAGUGUUUUAAUGCAUCUUAUUUGGUCACACAAAAUCUCAUCUAAAUAACAUCUAGAUCAAAAUUUGUACAGAAUCUUGUCUAAAUAUAAUUUAAGAAAUUGUACAGGUGAAAAGCUCUACAAAUGUCCUCACUGUGGGAAGUGCUUUCCCCAUACAAGGACAUGAAAUAUACAGGUGAAAAAUACAUGUUCUCAGUGUUGUAAGUGCUUUUUGACUAUAAGUCAUUUAUAUCACCACCAGUGAACUCAUUCAGGCGAAUUGUACUCUGUGCAUCUGGUGUGGGAAGUGUUUUUUCACAAAAUCUAAUUUAAAUUAACAUUUGAGAAUUCAUACAGGUGAAAUGUCUUUCAGAUGCACUUAAUCGUGAAACAAAUAAUCUCCUUUUAAUGACAACAAAAUAACCUGCCAAAUGUACACACUUUGGGAAGUUUAAUGAAAGCAUCCUUUACAUUAUAUAAUUUGUGUGGGAAGUGUUUCAAAUCCAUUCAAAUCCUUUUAGCUAUUCUUUGAUUAUCAUAUUUUGGACCAAUGUCCAAAAAACGGCACCAAAAUACACUGCCAGUUUACUUUUGUAGUAAGUUUGGAUUAUUUAAAGGUUUAGAAAUGUCAUUUUAAUUCCUUGUAAAUGAAAAAUGUAAUUUCUUGUAGAUUGACGUGUGAUAUCUUGUGGUGAUCAAAUUGAUAACAGUGUAAUUUCUUUGAAAGAAAGCAUAUGAAAGCUGUUGGGUGUGAGGUAGAAAGAAACAAAAGCAAAAUAGUUUUCUGAAAAUGAACUUGACAGUACUAGCCUUUUCAGUUCUUUUGCUACCAAUGUUGAGGCUUUAAUGUAAGUCAGCAAAUCAUGAUUACUAGACUUCAGACAGUAUGUUUUAUUUGAUGUCAGUUGAGUAUCUUUGUUUCACUCUUUAUUUUUCAAUGUUGUAUAUGAAUUGUGUUUCAAACAAUUCUACAUUGUGAGUGUGCACAUACCUAGGUCUCUGUGCCAUAUAAUUUUCUGUAUAAACUAUUAUCUUUCACUGUCAUUGCUCUCUCCUUUUCUACCCAGUUUGAAAUGUUUUCAGACGCAGCAAUUUGCCAUUGUUGCCGAAUGUUAACAUGCAUCGAUUUAAUGUCAAAUUAUUUCAGCAUUGAAUCUAUAUUUUGGAUUUAUAUUGUGCUGAACCACACAACUGUGUUUUUAAGUAGUUGUCAUCUUUUAGCAAAAUGGACAUUGGUAAACUAUGACAAUAUUAGGCUACUGCCAGUGCAACCAGUGUGCGUAUACUGGCUAUAGUAAAAAGAAAAAACAAGCAUACCAUAAAAGGUUGUUUGCGACAUUACUUCAUACCUUAUUAGCCUAUGUUCAUGGACUUUUCAGCAGCCAUACCACCAUGUGCCCUGCUCCUGCUGAAUGGCUGAAGCUAAGCAGGUGUGGGCUUGGUUAGUACUUUGAUAGGAGAGCUCCUAGGAGGCCUGAUUUCCUGCUGGAAGUUGUGUUGGUGGGCCUAUUGGGAGUGAUUGUCCCUCUGGUCAAAUUAUCCCCAAUGAGGACACUACUGUUGGAGGUGCUGUCUUUGUGUUGAUAUGUCAAAUGGAGGUCCUGGCUCACUGUGGUCAUUAAAGAUCCCGAUACUUAUUGGAAAGAGUCGAGGAUUCCCCCUGUGUCCUGCCAAAAUUUUCAACCUGCCACCUAAUCAUCCUUCAACUGGCCAAAAAUUGAUUUUUUCACUUCACCUCAGCUGAUGUUAUGAGUGUUCUGGCACAAAUUGGCUGCCAUGCAUCACCCAGGUGGGUGCUACAAAAAGCUUCCCCCUCAACCUGGUGAAGGGCUUUGAGUGUGAGAAAAACACAAUAUAAAUGCUAGGUAUUAUUAUUAUUAUUAUUAUUAUUAUGAUAUUUACAACAAUGUUAUUACCAUUCAUGAGUACAACUGUAUUCAGCAUUACAAUUAUUGUCAUCAUGUUCAUCAACAACAUUGGCUACAUGUGUAAUGGUAUCCCAAAGGUGAACAUUUUUACAAAUCACACUGGGUCCAACUAUUAUGGGCAGUAUUGUUCCAGUUACUGACGUCCCGUUGCAACCCGGUCGUAGUUUUGAAACAAAAACGCUUUUAUCUUGAAGCCCGGUGUAGAAACUGCAUCGGAAGUUGGGUCCUUUUCGGGGUGAGAGUCACAGUUCUCAGCUGAAUUCAGUCAAGAGCAUUAUUGUUCACGCUGCUUUAUUGCGCACGAGAUCAUUCACUGCCAAGAACUACACUCCAGCAAGUUGAAUACACGAUUGAACGGAGUCAUAAGCAGAUAUGGGGAGCUGUACUUCUGCUCACCUUUGAGCAGCAGUAUGAUGCAGGCAGGAGUCUGUCUGAGACAGGAUACUGAGACAAUACUACCAGAGCUCACUGAGCAGCACAGGAUCAGACAGGAAGAAGAGGAACUUAGUGGACUGGAGUCUGUCCACAUGGCAGAGUUAGAAACAGAGUGUGCUGCACCAGGACUCGACACACUGGAGUCAGAGUGUGUUACAGCACACAGCAGGACAUCUUGACAAAAUGACUGGGACAAGCUGGGCAAACAGGCCUUUUCCAUUUUAUAAUGUGUCCCUGUUUUUCGUUUUAAAAUGUAAUUUAAAUUCCUUGUUAAUGUAAAAUGUAAUUCCUUUUGAUUAAAGGGUGAUAUUUGUGGUGAUGAAAUUGACACCAGUGCAAUUUAUAUGAAAGAAAGUGAAAACUGUAUGUAAAGAAACAUGGUAAAGCAUAAUGCAAUCUUGUAUUUUGAUAAUGCACUUGACAGUACUGACCUUUUCAGUUGUGCUGUUGCCUGUAUAGAGACUGUAGUGUGCAUGUCGGCUAAAUAUGAUCACUAGAUUAUAUCUGAGAUUUCACUUUCAAUUUCUCAAUUCUGUAUAGGGAUUGCGUAUGAAAUAAAUUGUGAAUGUGCACAUUCCAAGACCAUUAUGCCAUGUAAGUUGCUGUAUAAACUCAUGUCUUUCACGGUUUCAUUUUUCUCUCUCCUGCUGCUCCUGUUUAUAAAUUUAGUUUAAUUCCUGCUGCAUGUUCAGCUAACUCGUAACAUUAGGUAUGUCACAAAUAAUUUGAUUUUCAUGGAGGGUGAAUUAGUUAAACCAUCUGAUACUUUUCUUUUUGUAUGAAUAUGUAAAUGUUUUUCACAUACUGUAUCUCAAAAUUAACAACAGUAAUAUUCAAAUGGACAUGUGGUCCUUAAACUAAGUAGGGAAAACACUUGUUGUAUAACUCUCCUUAUUCCUUGCCUAGACCUUCAGAGGAAACUUUUACCAUAUUCUUUUGUAGGAUUUUUUUGUUCUUGGAAAUAUUUGAUGAGUCUUACAGGUGAAAAGCCCUAGUUCUCAGUGUGGGGAAGUGGUUUUUGACCACAGAUCACUUAAAUCACCACCAAUUAAUUCAGGUGCAGUCCUGGAAGUGCACCGAGUGUGGGAUGUGUUUUUCAGCAAAAUCUACUUUAAAUGUUCACCUGAGAAAUAAUAGUGAAAAAGUGAAAAUGAAAAAUGAAAUGUCUUUCAGAUAUACUUAAAUGUUUAAACAAAGAUAUAUAAUUUUAAUGACCAAAAAGAAUUCCUAAAGGUGUAUAACCUGAAAAAUGCACUUGUGUAAUGUAGUGUUUCAUGAAACCGUCCUUUAAAUGCUACGCUGUGUUUGGAAAGUGUUUGAAAUGUCCAUUAAAUUUAAAGAACAACCUGAGAAUUAA